rnacentral:rRNA from 1 species
AUUGAACGCUGGCGGCAGGCCUAACACAUGCAAGUCGAGCGAGGGGCGGACGGGUGAGUAAUACGUGGCAAUUGCGCAGGCGAGGUGGAUAAAAGUGGAACACGACCGCUAAACGCGCAUACGGGUGGAUUCCCCAGGUGGGAUUAGCGAGUUGGUGGGGGAAUGGCUCACCGAGGCGACGAUCCCUAGCUGGUCUGAGAGGAUGAUCAGCCACACUGGAACUGAGACACGGUCCAGACUCCUACGGGAGGCAGCAGUGGGGAAUAUUGCACAAUGGGGGAAACCCUGAUGCAGCCAUGCCGCGUGUGUGAAGAAGGCCUUCGGGUUGUAAAGCACUUUCAGCGGGGAGGCGUUACCCGCAGAAGAAGCACCGGCUAACUCCGUGCCAGCAGCCGCGGUAAUAC